rnacentral:lncRNA from 1 species
AAUGCACUUGCUUCAUAACCUGAAAAUAUUGCCAGAAUCCAAGAUUUGGUCCUGUGCUCACAUAGAUGAUUGGAUGGGUCUGAAAUUUGGAGGAGUCUCAUAAUAUGAUCACAUGAAGGAGUGUGCAAAAUUUUAACUCAUUUUGGUAAACCUAGCUAGUACUUCCUUCACAAUGCCUUCUGUCUGACAGAAAGUUUGAAAAAUUGCUAAGGAAGAUUGGCUAGGCAAAUAAAGUUGAAUUUUGGCAUGAGGCAAUGAUUUGGACAUGAAAAAAUGCCCAACAAGUUUGGGAGCAAUCAGGAAAGGAUAGGUGGCACUUCCUUCACAGAAAGCCACACUCGACAGAAAUGAAGAAUAAUUAUUGGGGAAUUAUUCUUGGGCUAGGACAGGAAAGUUUGGGCAUAUUUGAGCAACAUAUGACCCAAAGGAAUUAUGAGAAUUAUUUGGGAAUUUUUGGAUGGACAGAAAUAUAGGUUGCUUCACAACCUAGGGCAGACAUGGUUAUUCCUUUAAUAGAAAAGGGAAUAUUCCUGAGAAAAAGAAAUUAGGGUUUGGUCAAGCAGUGAAGUGACAUGAUCUUGGCAAGGUUUUGAGAAUGAUGAGCCACGUGCGAGGGGGAAUGAGGAUGAUUUCCCAGGUGGCAAGGCCACAGAACCACUCAAAAAAAGAAAAACAGAGCAAAAACCAAUAAAUUAAAAGAAAAAGAAAAGGGCCAAAAUCCAGGCUGUUACAAACCUUCCCCCCCUUAAAGAAAUCUCGUCCUCGAGAUUUGGUUGCUCAGGGAACAAGUAUGACUUUAGGACACCGUUUCCUGCUCGGGUAUCCUUUUUCCUUUAGUUAUUGUUCCCCCAAGAAUUUCAGAUGAUUAACUUACCUUGCUCUGGGGUGGCUUGCUUCACUUUUCCCCAGAUUCUGAUGGGUCUUUGCUCAUAUACCAAUUCCUUUUUACUGGCGUUGAUUCUCCUUACCUGGGGUGAUAUCCAAUGGAUCUCAGCAUACAUUUUCUUUUUGGUCAUGAAAACCGUUUUACUUCUGUCAUGGGGUUGCUUCAAAUAAAUACAGGCCUUCUAUUUUCAAUAAAUGCUGAGAAUUCAUCAUGGCCAUCUUCUGACGGAAUCUGACUGCUCAUAAGUGGUAAUGAUUUAUUUUGAUUUAUUUGUUUGGCUCAAUCAUGGGAUAUCUACCAAAGAUUUGACUCCCUUCUGUCGUGCGAAAUAUAACAGGGUAUAUACUUAUAACUGUAGCAUACCUCAAUUAUUAACAUCUUGAGACUGUCCUGGCAGGUAUGCUGGUGGGAAGAUACUUUUCAUGACAGGUUGUCCGGGUACUAGGUUACACCAGUGGAUAUACCUGGUCUGAGCUGAUUGUUCUAUUUUUGAUUUACCCAUGUUGUCGGUAUACCCAGAUGUGGUAAUAAGCUGUGCGAUGCUUUAUACUGUCGCUGAAGUCAGACUGCUGAGGUUGCAAAAGAAUCUUGGACUGGACCGAACAGAUUUGGAUAUUCCGCACUAACCAUUUUUAAGCGGGUCAGCAGGAUAUGAAGUUCUUGUAGAGCAGAGUAAUCCAUUGAGGGUAUGCCUUUGUGGCUCCAUAUGUAAUCUGGCCACUAACUGACUUGGGUAUCCGGACCCUGAUGGUCGUGCCAAAAAUCAUCAUACCUUUGCUAUCAGUCUCACCCUUUAACGGUCAUGUUUUUCUUUGUCAGGAUAUCUUACUGAAAUAGGGUGGCCACAUAUAUCCUUGAUUCUUCGUAUGACCAGGGACGUGAUUAGUGCAAUAUUUUUGACAUUAUCCCUUAUGCCUGUUUUCUGACCUGGGUCCUCACACAUGUGACAUAUACCGGGGUUUGUAGCUGUACGGAGCUCAUUGUUGAGGCCAAUCGUACAAGAAGGUGACAAGGUUUUAGGACAACUCCUUGUGAGUUGCGGGAAUAAUGACCUUGAUGACCAUUGUCAAGACUGUUGAUUCUGUGAUGUCAUCCCCAGAUCUUGUCGAUUCUUGUAAUUUAUGAGAUGUAUCUCUGCUUAUUUUCCUUUGCCUGGCUCGUGAGGUUGUGGGAUCCUUACUUUCCUUAGGUAUAUCUGUUGGAUCCUUGCCGCAUUUCGUAUGAGUGUCUGAUAUGACUGGGGAUGCAUGCUCACCAUAUAUAAGAACCAUAUGCGACCAAACACUUGAUUCUUGAAGAAGACACAUGCCCUGACUGAUUUGUGCUUCCAACAAAAAUGUUGCGAGUCUAAUUCUUGAGCGGUACUGCCAUACAUUGGCAACUCAUAAUAUAACCUCUGAGGAUGGUGUAUUGUGUUGUACUGAUGGGGGCUGGGUGGCUUACUAGAGAAGCCAUCCGAGUAACUUCCUGAGGAAGACUUGUUAACUUCUGCUCAAACCUUUUGUAUGGGUAUCGUGCAGAAAAAGGCUCUAUAGCUUACACACGAACUUGGUCUGAUUAUUGUGCUGGAGAAGCCUGAGUUCCGUACUUGAGAAGCUUCUCGUCGGGUUUGGUUGUUGAGAAAAAUUCAUUUUCGUCUGUCAGAAGCUUUUACCGAGGUAUCUUGCUGAGAAAGACCGGGUAUCUUGGACCGGAAAUUGUUCACAUAUCAUGCUGAGGAAAAUUGAGGAGCCUUGCACCAUAAAUUUCUUCUGAUAACGUGUGGAAGAAGACCGAGUUUCUUACGUCCAAAGCUUCAUACUAAUAUGCAGACUGAAAUCUACACACAUGCCCAUACUAUUCUGUGGCUGAUCAUUUGCAUGAGAAAAUUUGUUUGACUGUCUUCCUUGAGCAUAUCACAUUCUGACUUUAUUUUGGAUGAUAACAUAUUUCAAGCAUCAUGCAUUGCUGAGCCAAAAUUUUGUAUAUGAUCCAUACAUUUGACUGAAAAUAUACCGUUGAUCUUGUAGCUGACUCCUCUUGCUGCUGACUUGAUCAUUACUGCUGUGAGGAUUUUGUACUGAUGUGGACUUGAGUUAUCAGUACUGUUGUGAGGAGUGCACACUAAUGCAAAAUUGAUUAUCAGCCUCAAAAUCAGAUUUUCCCAUUUCAUUACAGUCAGCUGAGAAUUCCAUUCUGUUUAGCUGAGUUUCCAAAUAUUUGAACUCCUUGCUGAUUCUUCGGGUCCGGUGUCAGUUGAUGAGCAACUCUUUAUAGGGGGGAAAUAAUGUAACACCGGGGCCCAAAAAGAAAGAAGCAAAAGAAAACUCAACCAAACAAAAGCACACAACAACAAACAAUACACACUCAAACAAAGUCACACAGUACUGCUAGUCACACAAUAUGCAUGCCUACUUAAGCACACAAAUCUCGCGGGAUCUCCGGUUCUACGAUCUAGCAUGCUGUGACGAUGUGCAAGAGGACGAAUAAAUGUGUGGAAGAAUUGGUGUAAACCGCGCUACACCAAGUGCUAGCUUAGCCAGGUAGCAACCUGGACUAGCUCGGAGGCGAGGACACACUCGGUAAUCAUGUAGUGGGACAUGAAGGUCGCAACCACAUUAUUAUCAAGUGGACGGAAAAAGGUCCGUACUCGUCCAAGAAAUAGGAUAGCGGGGAAAAACUGAGGCCGCUGACAUUGCCCUUUCUUGAUAACUAAGAUCAUUAAGGGUUGCCAACACGACAAAAUGAAAGAGCGAUUCGGGCUAGAAGCAUGUCCAUCACCGAAACCAUAGGCGGGGCUGAAAGGAAUCGGUGUGAUGCCUGAGCACCAUUUUUUUGCAAAUAGUGUCAGGAUCACUUGGCAUCAUUCUGCUGGGACAGAAAUGACACCAAACACCGAAGAACGAGCAAGAAAAGAAAACUAGAGAAAUGCAAAGGCUGACCUGUAGUGGGUCCGAACAGAUGCCAGCUACACUCACCAGAUAAACCAUUAGCAACAAAUACUAAGGCUAUAUGCAUGCUAUGCAACAAACAAAUGCAGCAACCAAAUGCAAUAAACAAGCCAGACUUUAAACUAUUGAUUUCUACCGGUUUCUACCACUCGCCCUGACUAGGGCGUCCUACAGCCAGACCUGCUCUGAUACAAAGCCUUGUGGCACCCCGGCUCAGAGAAACCGGAACGCCCCGUAUUCUAGUACAGAGAUCGAGGAGAAGUCUUCUGGAAUACGACACUGCUUAGCAUAGAACAAACCAGCUUUCUAUUAUUACACGAAUAUAAAUACAAGGUCUCCGAUAUUACAAUGAAUAACAUCGGCACGGCGACACUACGCCAUCCUCAGUUGCUCUAUGCAAGCAGCAGAACAACUCGAAGCAGCGGAAAAACUUCUAGCAGCGGAACAACGACGACGGUGGUGAACUCCACUCCGCAGGGACUCUGGCUGGAAUGCUUAUCCUAGCUCGCACGAACGGAAACCACGACAAGCAAUCAAGCAAUCACGGCAUGACCUGCAAACUGGCAUGACACGCCAGGUCAGUACAUUGAAUGUACUUGCAAGCUCACAAUAACCAGAAGCAUUCAAGACAAACAACAUCAUGGCAAUUACAGGUUAAGCAGGCAUUAUCAUGAGAUCCUUAGGAUAACCUGGCAUGAACACCAUGAACAUGAUACAACUAGAACAAUAGGAGCAUGGCAUGAACAUAUAAAUCUGACGAUACUAGCAUGCAACAUGAUGACACUAUAUGCACCACUUAUUUUGCUCGGGUUACCUUGUAACCAUCACAUGGAUCACUUACCAACCUCGGACAUCACCCAAUCAUCUCAGGAUCAAAUCAAGCUUGGUAUAAACAAUACCGUAGUAAUCAUUAAAUGACCACAAGGAGCUUGAUCUUUACCCACGAUUCUCGCACAACAUCAUGAAUAUCCAACAACUCGGUAUCCUUGAUACCACGGUGAUCAUUCACGGAUCACAAACGGAACCACUCCUGGCUCAACGGGUUACCUCGUAACCAGACGGUGAUCAUUCACGGAUCACAUAACCAACGUAUCUCAUCAUCGAACCAGGGUUGUUAUUAAGCAAGUUAUUAUUAAUACUGUUGACCCAUAGUGUGACCGACACGAACUGGGCCCUUAUCCGCGGGCACGGCUAUCGAUAGAUUUAAUAUACACUCUGCAGAGGUUAGUACACUGUACCCACACCACGGAACCCAUGGCCUCUCGCUCCCAUUCGGGUGGACCAACGGCAUUCCGACAAAACCGUCCUACUGCCAUGACACUCUCCCGGCCAGUCCGACUCACUCCCCACUAGGCUAAGUCCUGGGUGGCCCCUUGCCUACCAAAGACACCAACGGCCACCGUCGUGGCAAAACGGCCACCAUUGUGGCAAAACGGUCCCAAACAGCGACAAUCCGGAUAUAAGAACAACGGCCACACAAGGUUAUGUCUCCUUACCGGGCCAGGGUACCGUACGCCCAUAACCUUCCCUCGUUGGAGGCACCAGCGAGAGGCACGACAAUAGACCCAGUUAGGACCUUCCCAUAAAGGCAAGCGUGGUUGCACUGGUCAGCUUGAUAUGGUGGCACCAUGACUCAGCCAACAGUUAUUCAAGUUCAAUUUAAUCCGGUUAAACUUGAAUGCAAAUAUGCUGAGCCAUGAUAAAAUAACAUGAUGCAAAUUACAAUUUAUGAACAUGACAUCAACAUAAGCAUGGAGGUGCAACAUAACUAUUAACCAUAUCAACAAUGAAUUAUAUCCAACUGAGAAUGGCAUACUGACUAGCAUGAACAUCACAAGUACAUACUUCUCAGAAACAUAGCAUGACCACUAGCAUCGACAAUAAAUAUCAUGCAAGAACAUAUCAACAAUGCCAUCAUGCAAGCAUUUAACCAACUGGUGCAAUCGAACAUGCAUAACAACGGUACUCGGGACAGACGGCAGUCAUGCACCGAAGACCAUCACCAACAUCAAGAUGUACUACUAGCAAGCAUAAGCAUACAAAAGGAAUACUAGCAACUAGCAGGGCAUGAUAACUAGAUGCAUAACAACAUAGCAAGAAAGUAAGCACUAACCCAGAAGCAUUACCGAAACAACGAUAACCAUAUUUUAAACUAGCAAACAUUUAAUAAAUAUUCAAGUUGAAAACCAUGGCUAAUGCAUGACUAUCAUGCAAGUGGAUAUUGUGGCUUGCCUGGGGUGGAAGAAAUCACCAGGACAAAGUGCGAGAAGCUUGCGGAAAGAAUCGCCGGAAAACGUUCUCUCUCGAAGGGGGCUGAUUUAGCAUAAAGGCAAAAUGGUCAUUUUCAGAAUGUUAAAACAUGGUGAAAAUUAUACCAACAGAACGGGCUCGACGAAACGAAGAAGUGGGCUUUGGAAUCACCUCAAUCGGAGUGUCGAGCAAAAAGUUAUAGCCCGACAAAGUUCAGGGACCAAUUUGUAAAAAUAUCUCUACAAACAGGCCCCUGGAGGAUAAAACAGAAAACGUAUUUCAAAUAAUACGCUUUCAGAACUGAGAAGCGUAUUUGUAGCCGAAGACGAAAGAAAGUACGCUUUUGGAAGUGGAAAAUGUAUUCUGUUCUAAAGAAGAGCAGAAGUACGUUUUCACUAACUGAAAGCGCACUUCAGGGAAACACGUUUCCACUGACUGACGUGGCGGGGCGGGGUCAACACUGAGGCGCUGACAGAGGGGGCCCGUGCGUAGGGGGAGGGGCCAGCUGGGUGUCGUCUUCCUCCUCGCUGCUCCCCCGAUGGGAAACAGAGGAGCGGGAGGCAGGGCGAUGCCGGCGAUGGAGCGGCCGACUCCGGCGAUCUCCGGCCAAGUGGAGACCACCGGAGGGCUCGCGGGGGCAUGGCGCAUCCAUCCAGGAAAGAAACAAUGCCGGAGGAGGAGCGGCAUGGGCACGCGGCGACACGACAGAUAAGAACAGAGGUGGCGGUGGUCUUCGCGGCACGACCCUAGAGAGGCUCCGGCGAGAGGGCAAGGGCACGGGGAGGGUCGCCGGAGUGUGGGCAAGGCGAUGGUGGUGGCUAGAGGAGGAGGAUGGCUCGGCAUUGGGCUAAUUUAGGCCGAAGCCGAGGCGGACAUGGCGGCCAUGGAGGAGGAACUGGAGCUCCUCAAGCUCCGUGGAGUGGUCGGGCGGGAUCCGGGGAGUGGUGUGAGGCUGGUGGUGAGCUCAAACGAGACCGGGGAUGGCUAUAUAUCCGGGCGAGGGAGGCCGAGCUCGGGUGUCGCCGCGGGGAUCAAACCAACGCUCUGGCGACGGCCAGCGAGCACGGGGUGGCACGUGAUCAUGACGAGGGAGAAGCGGACGAGCCACAGAGGCGCACAGGGCAGGAGGGGCGCAGGGGCGCAGGGGAGAAGCGGCCGAACGCCUUAACUGCUCGGUUGGCCACAGUGCGCCCGUGGGCGCGCAGCGACAAGCGCUGACGGAGGGGCUUAUGGAGGGGGAGAUGGCUCCAGGAGGACGGCGACGACGCGGUAAAACUGUUAGACAUGCUCAUGAGCGCGAAGACGAGGAGAGGGGGAGGGGCCUGAGCAAGAAGAUGCCCUGGACGCGGCCAACGCCAGCAGAGCACGCGCAUUGCAUGCCAAAGCUCGUGGUCACCGCAUGCACUGGUGCACACAGUGCCACACAGCCAGCCAAACGAUGUCUGGGGGUUUGUCCUUCCUGGGUAGGUUGCAACUGAGGUGGUAGCUUGGUUAAAGACGCAGUGGUUAAAUGGUAAGUGAGCUGUGAAGUUUAUUGCAGUAAACUUGGCCAAGAACUGCUGAUCAACAGGAAAGGGAUUGGAGCCAGAGAGUUUGUCUGGGGUGAUCAGCUUAGGAAGGACUAUAAUCCUGGAGGUUUUGGAGCAUAAUGGAGCACGAACUAAUAUAGUUGAUGUGUAACCCCAAAAUUGGUCCAGAAUCAAGAUUUGGAUGAUGCACUCGCAUGGUGUGGCCACUUGGGCUGAAAUUGGGCAAGGCAUCAUGAUUUGGUCAUAAUAGUAUGCUGUAUAAAUUUUAUACCAAAUGGAUUCACCAAAAUGGUAGUUCCUUGAUAGCUAUUCCCUAUCCAGAAACUUGCUAGAAUUUUGGAGAAAUAUUGGCUAAGUUAAAUGGUGCCAAAUUUGGUGGAGAGAUGUUAUUUGGGUAGGAGAAUAAUCUGGUAUUUUCUCAGAAUUAAUGAAGCAAUAUAAAAUGUACUUGCUUCACAACCUGAAAAUAUUGCCAGAAUCCAAGAUUUGGUCCUGUGCUCACAUAGAUGAUUGGAUGGGUCUGAAAUUUGGAGGAGUCUCAUAAUAUGAUCACAUGAAGGAGCGUGCAAAAUUUCAACUCAUUUUGAUAAACCUAGCUAGUACUUCCUUCACAAUGCCUUCUGUCUGACAGAAAGUUUGAAAAAUUGCUAAGGAAGAUUGGCUAGGCAAAUAAAGUUGAUUUUUGGCACGACGCAAUGAUUUGGACAUGAAAGAAGGCCCAACAAGUUUGGGAGCAAUCAGGAAAGGAUAGGUGUCACUUCCUUCACAGAAAGCCACACUCGACAGAAAUGAAUAAUAAUUAUUGGGGAAUUAUUCUUGGGCUAGGACAGGAAAGUUUGGGCAUAUUUGAGCAACAUAUGACCCAAAGGAAUUAUGAGAAUUAUUUGGGAAUUUUUGGAUGGACAGAAAUAUAGGUUGCUUCACAACCUAGGGCAGACAUGGUUAUUCCUUUAAUAGAAAAGGGAAUAUUCCUGAGAAAAAGAAAUUAGGGUUUGGUCAAGCAGUGAAGUGACAUGAUCUUGGCAAGGUUUUGAGAAUGAUGAGCCACGUGGGAGGGGGAAUGAGGAUGAUUUUCCAGGUGGCAAGGCCACAGAACCACUCAAAAAAAAAAC